AGUACUUUUACUUUUACUUGAGUACAGUUUUUGGGUACUCUACCCACCUCUGAAUGUAACUUUAAAAAUAUAUAAAUAUUACUAAGAAUAUAGCAAAAGUCAUUCAUUUAUUUUUUAUAAGUUCACUAGAGGGCUGCAAAGGACCCCUCAAUGACUCAUUUGUCAUUUCCAAAUAAAUCAGGGAUUUCCAACUCUGCUCCUGCAUGUGGGCCAUUCUUUGUAUGAGAUUACCCAGGGUUUUAUUGUUGAUGAUUUGACUUGAUCCAGGAUUGAUAGGUUCUUUGAAGCUCAUCUUGGAGUUGCUGUCAUAGCAACAGGUCCGUUAGCUCAAACCUGCUCGGGAGCAGGCUUAUUUUACAUAAACAGAAUUAGAUUGUAUCAUUUUAAGUGAAGGUAAUACUGAAAGUCUGCCCCAGCCAUCGCUCUUUUCUUUCAAGUGUACCUCAUUAAACCAGGAUUUACUUUUUUUAUAUACUUAAAAUGCUGCUUAAUCUAUAAUGAUAUAAUUAUCACAUAAUUGUAUACAUUGUGUGUGUGUGUGUGUGUGUGUGUGUGUGUGUGUGUGUGUGUGUGUGUGUGUGCACAUACAGUGCCUAUAGAAAAUCAUCAUACCCCUUUGAAAUAGUUACAACAUCAACCAAUGAAAGGUUAUUAAUAAUAAUAAUAAUAAUUAAAGCAAAUUAAUAAUAAUAAUAAUAAUAAUAAUAAUAAUAAUAAUAAUAAUAAUAGAAUAUCAGGGUUGGAAAAGUCAUCAGUCCCUUGAUUUAAUACUUCGUAGAGCCACCUUUUGCUUUAAUUACAGCCAUCAGUCUUUUAAGAUAUGUCUGUACUAGCUUUGCACACUUUGAUUGGGGGAAUAUUUGCCCAUUCUUCCUUGCAGCUUUGCUCAAGUUCAGUCAAAUUCUGUGUUGAGUGACAAUGGACUGCUCUCUUCAAAUCCAUCCACAGAUUUUCCAUUGGAUUUAAGUCAGGGCUUUGACUUGGCCACUCAAGGAAAUCACCUUCUUAUCCUUAAGCCAUUUUGUUGUUGUUUUGGCAGUAUGUUUAGGGUCGUGUUGGAAGGUGAAUGACCUGCCCAUCUUCAGCUGUCUAGCAGAGGGACGCAGGUUUUCCUCAAGAAUUUGGAUGUACUUGGCAGCAUCCAUUUUCCCUUCAAUCCUGACUAAUCGGGCCAGUCCCAGCUGAAGAGAAACACCCCCACAACAUAAUGCUAUCAUCACCAUGCUUCACAAAACUGUGGGCUUCCACGCUGAUGCACACACACAUCAACAUUCUCUAUCUACGCAUGAGAAGAGUUCAUUUGAUAAGGGAAGAGCGUGGUCUCGAAUUUAAAGACCAGACCCCUGUACUGCAAGAUAAAGCUGAAUGUGCCAGCGCUGGACAGGGAGGCCCUGACAGUGCUGCUGGAUCUUCUGAGAAGAGAAUGUCAACACGGAAGGGUGCCACAAUCCAGUGAAAAAAAAUUAUAAGCUGC